rnacentral:misc_RNA from 1 species
AAGUCGUAACAAGGUUUCCGUAGGUGAACCUGCGGAAGGAUCAUUACAAAUCCGAUGAACUACCGCAAGGUAGUCUGUCAUAUCAGCGCUGGCGAAGCUUCGCCGUGCGAUGCAGCUCUGGCUGCACAUCAACGCUUGUGGGUUUGACAGUCAAUUUAUAACUAAUACAACUUUUAACAAUGGAUCUCUUGGCUCCU